rnacentral:lncRNA from 1 species
CCUGGAUGUUCUGCACCCACACGUUCCCCCCUGGCCUAGGGUCUUCGGGACUCAAUCCCUGCCCUUCGUUAAAAUCUCUCAGGAAAUGAUAGGUGCUUCUUCACACUAGCAUGUAAAUCACUGAUUCCACUUCUGCUUCAGCCCUUUAGAGAGACGAUUGCCUCUAAACAAGGAUAAAUGUUUACUUGUCAUUCUCAGCCUUGGCUGUGCGUCAGCAUCCCUGGUGGUUCACUGAGAAAUGAAGAAGCCCAGGCCCCACUGGAACCCUGAAACGUUAAAAGUCAUCACAGGUACCUACUAUGUGACAGACUCUGAGACUACAAAGACAUGUGGCCUCUAGAAUGGGAUAAAAUGACAACCAGGUGGCUUGGGAUCAUCAAUGGUCACCACUGUAGAUUGAACCUGAGCUAAUUCUUGCUGGAAUAGUUGUCAGGAAGACUUUUUCUCUACACCUCCUCUUUCUCCUAACUCAAAUAUAUCUCCCCACUGUUGCGAAAACCACAUUUAAAGGGAAUAUAACUCUGACCCUAUUGCUUCUCAGUUAAAAAUCUCCAAUGGCUUCCUGUUGUCUAUGCUUUCCAAGAGGAUUGCAGUGAAGGGCCAGACUGCUUGAGAUCCUUAGAAAUGUCAGAGGCCUCGACACAACUCUGCUCAGCACACAUAAGCCUGCGUGAUGGUUAGGAGGAAGGAUUCCUGGCCAGCAGAGGUCCUAGGUUCUACAGCACACAAGUUCACGGCUGAAAGAAGGAAAGGAUAAGAUUCUUAUGCAACAUUUGGCAAAACUCUGCUCUUUCUUGGGGCUCAUGUGACAUUUCCCUGGACGAACCUGGUUAAGUUUCCUGCCUGCAUUUCAAAACCUACAA